rnacentral:rRNA from 1 species
GACGAACGCUGGCGGCGUGCUUAACACAUGCAAGUCGAACGGAAAGGCCCUGCUUUUGUGGGGUGCUCGAGUGGCGAACGGGUGAGUAACACGUGAGUAACCUGCCCUUGACUUUGGGAUAACUUCAGGAAACUGGGGCUAAUACCGGAUAGGAGCUCCUGCUGCAUGGUGGGGGUUGGAAAGUUUCGGCGGUUGGGGAUGGACUCGCGGCUUAUCAGCUUGUUGGUGGGGUAGUGGCUUACCAAGGCUUUGACGGGUAGCCGGCCUGAGAGGGUGACCGGCCACAUUGGGACUGAGAUACGGCCCAGACUCCUACGGGAGGCAGCGGUGGGGAAUAUUGCACAAUGGGUGGAAGCCUGAUGCAGCAACGCCGUGUGCGGGAUGACGGCCUUCGGGUUGUAAACCGCUUUCGCUCAUGACGAAGCUUUGUGUGACGGUAGUGGGUAAAGAAGCACCGGCUAACUACGUG